UUGCUUACUUCAGCAGCACAUAUACUAAAAUUGGGACAGUGCAGAGAUUAGCAUGGCCCCUGUGCAAGGAUGAUAUGCAAAUUCAUGAAGUGAUGCAUAUGAAA
rnacentral:snRNA from 1 species